CGUGCAACAAAAAAAAAAUGGUAACUCUUCAAGGAUCAAAAUCUUAUGCUGCACAUGCACAUGAAAUGGUAAGUUAUGAAAAUUUUAAAUAUUAUAUUUCAUGAAUUUUAUACAUCAAUUCUUUUUUCUUAAACAAAGGAAUCCAUGUACAAAAGAGCUACCGAGUCACAUCAAAUUUUUCUAUGAGAUAAAUUGUAGCGAUGAACGUGGGUGGACAACUGAAUAAGCAGAGUCUCAUUAUUUAAGUAGUUUAACUUGUUAUAAUUGUAUAAUAAAUAUUUCAAAAAAUUUAAUAUUUUAUUUAUAAUUUACAUGGAUCCACAUAAUCAAAUGGUCGAACUUUCACAAGAACAAAAUUCUUAACUAGAUUCGAAUGAACAACCUAUGCCUUUAAAAGAAUUUGAAAUAUGUGAGCAAGUUUUGGGCAAGAGAUUUAACUACGUUGAUCAAUAGAAAAAUUCAAAGAAGACAAGGUUGGAAAAUUGUGGCACUUGUGCAGAGAAGACUGCUUUACAGAAUGAGGUUGAAGAUCUUCGUUCACAAUUGAAAUCUGUGCAGACAUUCUAAACCACAUUCUUGAAUAGUUUUUUCGGCCUAUUCAAUCUGAUGUAUCUUCAUUCAAUGGUUUAAAUGGUGAUAAUUAAUAUAUUUUUCACUUUAGUUUUGGUGACUGUUCGU
rnacentral:lncRNA from 1 species